CUGGGAUAACUUCGGGAAACCGGAGCUAAUACCGGAUAGUUUCUUUUCUCGCAUGAGAGAAGAUGGAAAGAUGGUUUCGGCUAUCACUUACAGAUGGACCCGCGGCGCAUUAGCUAGUUGGUGAGGUAACGGCUCACCAAGGCCACGAUGCGUAGCCGACCUGAGAGGGUGAUCGGCCACACUGGGACUGAGACACGGCCCAGACUCCUACGGGAGGCAGCAGUAGGGAAUCUUCCGCAAUGGACGAAAGUCUGACGGAGCAACGCCGCGUGAGCGAAGAAGGCCUUCGGGUCGUAAAGCUCUGUUGUUAGGGAAGAACAAGUACGAGAGUAACUGCUCGUACCUUGACGGUACCUAACCAGAAAGCCACGGCUAACUACGUGCCAGCAGCCGCGGUAAUACGUAGGUGGCAAGCGUUGUCCGGAAUUA
rnacentral:rRNA from 1 species